rnacentral:lncRNA from 1 species
GACAGCUCCUAGGAAAGGGGCGGGCCCCGUGUGUGUGUGUGUGUGUGUGUGUGUGUGUGUGUGUGUGUGUGUGAUCUGAGCCCUAGGGCUGGGGGGCAGAGAGUUCCUGACUAGAUGCCACGCCCAGUUCAGCAGCCCCCUACCCCAAGGCCGGAGUCCUCCGCACAGGGUGGGGGAGGGGGAGGGAGCAAAGCUGGGGCUCCUGGGGGCCACCCCCACCAUUAUUGCACUUGCUUCCGGCAGCCCGUCAGGCCGUGGGGCGAUGUUAGUCCUGUGCUGCCCCCUCGUGGAUGCUGCGAGGCUCGCAAGAAAUGGUGGCCCUGAGGGCGCUUUGGGAAUUGUGGAUCAGGCAUCAGUGUGAAGCUUCCUGCUUGUUUGGGAACGAUGGCGGAAGUCAUGAGCUUAUGUUGGGCGAGGAAAAUGAGUGCAAUGCACUAGGAACAUCCACUCUGUCUGCAAACCCAGAGCGUUCACACAGCACUCUGCUUUAUCUGAGACCUCCCAGCCAUGCCUUUCCAACGCCAUUCUACAGAUGAGGAAACUGAGGCCCUUACCGGCAAGAUUAAGUGACCGCCCACGGUCACACAGUCAGUCACCAGCUGAAAGGAACAGUGAGAAUCUGAGGGCUUAUGGUCCGAGCCCUCAGCCCUGUUUCUGCUCUAACUGGGUACAACCAGGCUCCCUCCGUGGCAGCCUCUCCUGGUCUGGCUCAGCUGAGCUCCAUGGACGCCCGCUGCUCUCAUCACUUCUGCCUCCUGCACUCUCUGCUUCCGGUUCUCUGAGUUUUGUGCUGUUCCGGUAGGUGCUGGCAGAUUCACAGUUCCUUCCACGCAGCUUCUCUGUGGGUCCAUUCAGCUGGCGCGCUGCUUCCUAUCUUUGUAAGGGAAGAGCUAAGUGCAGACAAAGCCCUGACGAAUAGAGGCCUGCGCAGAGUGCCCGGGGUGCAGGGCAGCAGGGCAGCCAGUGAACCACUGAGCUCGCACUGUAGCCAGUCCUGUGUGCCCCUGCUGGAUUCUGCUUCUAUGAGGGAGGCAGCAAGGAGUUGGGACUUCACAGGUGAAAGGACUUGCCAGAGGCAGAGUCUCGUUCUAUCACCCAGGCUGGAGUGCAGCGGGGCGAUCUCUGUUCAUUACAACCUCCGCCUCCCGGGUUCAAGCGAUUCUCCUGUCUCAGCCUCCUGAGUAGCUGGGAUUAUAGAGGGUCUUACUUUGUCGCCCAGGCUGGAGUACAGUGGCAUGAUCGUAGCUCAUUGCAGCCUCCACCUCCCUGGGCUCAGGAGAUCCAUCUCAGCCUCCUGAGUAGCUGGGACCACAGGUUUUGUUCAGGUUUAGCACAAGCUGUGAUGAAUAUCUUCAAGCCUCUGCUUCCUGCUGUGGAAUUGUUGCCAAAGGACACAUUCCCAGAUGGGAUUACUGAGUCAGAGGAAGUGGACAUUGAGUGGCUCUCAACAGACAGGCUGUGUUGCUCUCACAGUGCCCAGGCUCUCCCUCUAUCGUCCAGGCUGGAGUGCAGUGGCACCAUCACGACUGACUGCAGCCUCCUGCGCCCCGUGAUCUUCCCACCUCAGUGCCCUGAGUAACUGGGACCACAGCUUCCCAUGGGUGGCCAGCCGAAUGCAUUAUGGGAGAAAGCAGGUCUCGUGGAUAAUAUUUCUGAAGAUCGGAGCAGGUUGCCAGGUCCACGUCGGCCAUGACUGCAGCACGCUCCGGAGGCAGCAGGGGGCACCCUGGAGCUUCGCAUCCUCCUUCAGGCCCGCGGCAUCUCCCCUGGCUCCACCAUCCCCAGGUGUCUCAGCAGCAGCCUUGUGGCUGUGCCUCUUCUGUGCCCUCCGAGUUCUAGGCUGAGGGUGAGGAUUGGAUGAGUUGAUCCACGCAAGGCUCCUGGCACAGUGCCUGGCAUAUGGUUAAAUAGACUUGAAGUUAUAAUUACCAGGCCUGUUUCCUCCUCAUGAGAGGUGGAGCGGUGGUUCCCAAACACGAUGUGGGAAGUGUGUUAAAAUGCAGAUCCUGGGCUCGACCCUGAAGCUCUUCCGGCAUCCACCUUCCCAGGUGACCAGACUCUGGGGAAGGCAUCACCUCAAGACUCCUGCACCCUUCCUCCAGAGUCCUGGGAUUCAGCUAAAUCCUGGGAAGGUAGGACGGGCCUGCGCCUCCCGCCUUCCUUUGCUGUAGGGUUGGUCCUGUCUCUGCUCCCUCAACCCCUAGUUCCUGUCCAUUUCUCUUGAGACAGCUUGUCUGUCUCGGGUCCUCUAAACCUACUCUCAGGCCCUCACUUCCUGUCACCUGGGCAGCAGAGCAUGUUUUCUUCAAUAGCACCCUCCCUAAGAGACUCUUCAAAUCAUUUAUUUGUCAUGAUGCAUGAUAGUUAAAUGAAAUAACAGAGGCAAUGAAGCACCUGCUCAGAGGCUGGCACCUGGUGCACUUUUGACAAGUGACACUUUCAUCUUGACAGUUGGGAGGAGCUUGCAUGGAUGAGUGGGGACGUGGGUGUGCUGGGUGGCACCAGGGCACACACAGCUUGACAUAUGGACACUGUCUGGCAGCAGGUUAGAUUAGAGGUGGACGGGGUACGGAUGUGUGGACAAUUAAACUAGGACUCAGGGACGCUCUGCCCCAGGACUGGGCAGGCAAGAGCUCUGGGAAGUCAGUGGGCAGACAAAGGGUGUGGUUGGGUGGGCAGGGCUUCCUGGGGGAGGUGAUGGUGUUGACCUGACCAGGGACCCAUGCCCUUUCACCACUUUGUUGUUCUUUUUUUUUUUGAG